GUGCACUAGCAAGCUGUCGUGCAGGCCAUGAGGAAGGCUUCGGCUGACAGGAGAGGCAUGCAGACCUCAAGCAGACGCUCCCUUGAAGGGCAGGUUGCAUUCAUGGUUGGUUCAUGGAGGCGGCCUUGGCUAGGCCUGGGCGGCAUCAGCCUCCAACAGCAGCAGCAGCAGCAGCAGCAGCAGCAGCAGCAGCAGCAGCAGCAGCAGCAGCAGGAGCAGCAGCAGCAGCAGCAGCAAGGCGCUGGCCGUUCCGCUCACCCACAAGAACAGCUGCCACCAGUACCCUGGGGAUGACUAGAGGCCGGACCACAGGCCACAAAAAGAAGAAGGCUACCCCACUUACAGAUGCAGACCAUGUGGGGGUCCGGAGAGCUGCUUGUAGCGUGGUUUCUAGUACUGGCAGCAGGUGGUACUACUGAGCAUGUCUACAGACCCAGCCGUAGAGUGUGUACCGUGGGGGUUUCCGGAGGCUCCAUCUCAGAGACCUUUGUGCAGCGUGUAUACCAGCCUUACCUCACCACUUGUGAUGGACACAGAGCCUGUAGCACCUACCGAACCAUCUACCGGACUGCCUACCGGAUUGCCUAUCGCCAUAGCCCGGGGCUGACUCCCAGCAGGCCUCGCUAUGCCUGCUGCCCUGGUUGGAAGAGGACCAACGGGCUCCCUGGAGCUUGUGGAGCAGCAAUAUGCCAGCCACCGUGUGGGAAUGAAGGGAGUUGCAUCCGCCCAGGCCGCUGCCGCUGCCCUGUGGGAUGGCAGGGAGAUACUUGCCAGAUAGAUGUUGAUGAAUGCAGUACAGGAGAGGCCAGGUGUCCCCAGCGCUGUGUCAAUACUGUGGGAAGUUACUGGUGCCAGUGU
rnacentral:lncRNA from 1 species